CACGAUAAUGUUUUCAUAUACAACUCGGUAUAAUCCAUAUCCGAAUGGUGAUCUAUAUACAAUUCGGUAAACAUUUUUCAAAUUUAUCAGGAUUCGAUCUACAAGAAUACAAAUAGCAUGUCAAGACUUAAGUUCAACAAUUAAGUGUAAAAGUUGCAUAAAUUACAAUACAAACUGUUCAAUAUUAGGUCCAAAAUAUACAUAAAAGAAGCUUACACACCUACAAUAUAUAGUUCAAGAUCGAUGGUUACCAAGUUACUUCUUGUCUAGCCUACGCUUUCUAAAGAUCAUGGAAGUUUUGAUUAUACCAUCUUCAUCCACUUAGAAGAAAAUAUCCUCUUUAUUGUUCAAUAAUUGUCUGGACAAAAUACCAAUGCAUCAACCGUACCC
rnacentral:lncRNA from 1 species